GUACAGCGGACCUUCCUGGCAUCAGAAAAAGGCCUCCAGAAAAAGAGACACAGGGUUAUGGACUCUCAGAGCCAGAAGAAGGUCCUCUCUCCUUUGCUCCUCGUAUGCUGGGAUCCGCCACAUCAACGGCAACAGGUGGGCCUCCAGAAUUUGCUCCAGGGUGUUUGGAAGUCCUGACACCCUCCUGAUCUUCUCUGUAACAUGCACACUUUGGCCUGUGUCAGUUUGCUGGAACCACAUCAAGCCGGCCCUCUUCCUGGGACAAAAUUCUUUCUUUUUCUCUUUUUCUCUUUUUCUUUCUUUCUUUCUUUCUUUCUUUCUUUCUUUCUUUCUUUCUUUC
rnacentral:lncRNA from 10 species